AGGUACAAGGGUCUCAGCACUCGGACAGCCUCUUUUUUUCCAGACCCCUCUGACCUCGGUCCAUAUUCCAAGUUUUCCUGCUGGAAUUUCUGCACCGUCAGAUCGCAUGGAAGUUUGGUGGAAUCGGAGUUUCGGAGCGUUGAAGCUUUUGAAAAGCAAGGCGAGGAUGUGUGACCUCCCACCCCUCCCUCCCUCCCACCCUCCCAAGUGAAGCAUCACAGGACAAUUGUGAUGGACAAAACAACAACAACAAUAACAGCAAAAAAGACAGAGGGAGACCUUGGAGAAAAAGGGGAGGGGCGGAAUUUAACCCCCUUCAGCUACCUUGUGUGCGUGAUUAACAGAUUCGGGCCUUAAAAUUUCUCCCGUGGAAGUGGGGGGGGGAAAGACCCCACCCCAUUGUCAGCAUUUGAUCCUUCGGCCAAAGAGCCCCGUUCCAAAAGCGUCAAAUAAAGAGGCAGCGGUCGCAAAGAGAAA